CAUACCGCUCAGUAACACGUGGAUAACCUGCCCUGUGCUGGGGGAUAACCUCGCGAAAGUGAGAACAAUACCCCAUGGGUCACUAUGCCUGGAACGGUUAGUGGCUGAAAGCUCCGGCGGCACAGGAUGGGUCUGCGGCGUAUCAGGUCGUAGGGGGUGUAACGUACCUCCUAGCCUUCGACGCGUACGGGUUGUGAGAGCAAUUGCCCGGAGAUGGAUUCUGAGACACGAAUCCAGGCCCUACGGGGCGCAGCAGGCGCGAAAACUUGACAAUGCGAGAAAUCGUGAUCAGGGGACUCCAGUUGGCUGGAUCAAAAGCCAGUCUGAACCGACUUUAAAUGGUCGGGUAAUAGGGGCGGGAAAGACCGGUGCCAGCCGCCGCGGUAAUACCGGCGCCCCAAGUGGUCGUCACUAUUAUUGGGCCUAAAACGUCCGUAGCCGGUUUGGUAAAUCCGUGGGUAAAUCAGACAGCCCAACUGUCUGAAUUCUGCGGGGACUGCCAGACUUGAGACCGGGAGAGGUGCGGGGUACCUGCGGGGUACCGGUAAAAUGGG
rnacentral:rRNA from 1 species